rnacentral:lncRNA from 1 species
AUCAGGCAUUUCUGUCACCAUUUCUGAGUAAGAGACCUCAAAGGACAGCUCUUCAGCCUCUGCUGGAACGUUCUUCCCGUGAUAAUCAUCAUCUAAAGAAAAACAAGAGACAGGAGACGCAGUACAACCUUGAGCCGUUUGCUGCAAAACAAACCACCGAUGUUUACAAGGAACUCCUCCAUGGAUGCGCUGCUGUCUACUGAGGCUUGAGAGUUGGAGCGACUAAAGGAGGGAGGAUGCAGGGAUUCAUUGGAGAGCAUCCUGUUGAUUCGUCGGCAGCGAGGAAUGGAUUUUCUGAGGAAAGAGAAACAUUUGAAUGAAACUGGGUGCCUGUGUAAAGCCAUGCACGCGCGCACACACACACACACACACACACACACACACACACACACACGCACGCACAUGUACUCGCACGCGAACAGGCACAGACACACCUCAGUUCAAAGUCAACAAGGAACAGUUACUGCCACAGGGAGAGCACCAUUCAGUGGGGAUUCUG